GCGGGAAUAGCUCAGUUGGUAGAGCAUAACCUUGCCAAGGUUGGGGUCGCGAGUUCGAGUCUCGUU
rnacentral:tRNA from 10 species